rnacentral:lncRNA from 1 species
AUGUGGAGUGGGGAAGCAUCCUGCUAUACUGGCAAGACAUCAACCGGAGUCUGCAGGGGAGUGAACAGAAAGAAUGGCCUCUUAUCCACGUCUGGAGAGAAAUCACUCCCAGGGUUUGAGGUCUGCUGCACUCCACGGGGAAAAGCCCUGAUUGGUAGAGUGGGAGCAUCAUUAUGCCGUGGUUUGAGAAGAGGAGGUACCCAAGCUGGGUGAUGGAGAAGGCACAGCAUGACAAGAGGCAGAGGAAGGAGAAGAGAGAGUAUUUUGAGGCCACGAGGCCAGUGAUGAGCUGUGUGUGGUGCCCUUGGUGAAUUUGUUCCCAGAAGUGGAGAGUAGUGGGAGGUGCAGCUGGGAGGGUGGGUUGGAACCAGAUGGCAGGGUGUGGAGGGUGAGUCCACCAAGAAGUGUGGGCUUGUGAAGGCAGUGGGGAACCACUGAAGGUUCUGUGUUGGGAGUGACACGAUCAAAGCCGGCCUGUGUUUAAUGUUCUUCCCAGGCAGGCAUGACCCUCAAACUAUAAUAGCAGCACCUCGUACCUGAGGCUUUGAUCUUGACCAUUACCGCUGUUUACCUUUUGGGGAGUACCUUGGAUAUUUACAAAGUGCCAUGUAAUCAGUUUCAUUAGUUAAGAGAUAAGAUUAAUUAGAUUUUUGAGGAAAGCAACUGGACUUGGCUUUGAAAAACUCAGGCUGCAAAGGAAGCAGUGUUAGAGCCUCAGCGGGUGGUUCUCUCUGUAAGUCUAUGGGGUGUAACCUCCUCAGUAAUAUUGCUAGUAUGCGGAACACCAUACCAGAGUUUCCCCAAAGGGAUAAACCUGCCUUUAAGAAGAUCACGGUCUCGCCCAGGAGGGGUGGUAGUGCUGUGUUAAUACAGUAGGGAGGAUUUUCAAAUAUACACUGUACAGUCCUUAUGGAAAGUGCUGGGCUGGGGAAGCAGGGAGGGAGUAUGAGGGAGACCAUCUUCCACCUCACUGCGUUUCAGCAGAACUGGCAAAGAAUGACUGUGUUUAUAACAAAUUGUCCAUCUUUCUUCUGUCUUUAAUGAAAACAAUAUAAAAAUU